GAUGAACGCUAGCGGCAGGCCUAACACAUGCAAGUCGAGGGGUAUAGUUCUUCGGAACUAGAGACCGGCGCACGGGUGCGUAACGCGUAUGCAAUCUACCUUUUACAGGGGAAUAGCCCAGAGAAAUUUGGAUUAAUGCCCCAUAGUGUUAUAGAAUCGCAUGGUUUUAUAACUAAAGUUCCAACGGUUAAAGAUGAGCAUGCGUGACAUUAGCUAGUUGGUGAGGUAAUGGCUCACCAAGGCUACGAUGUCUAGGGGAUCUGAGAGGAUUAACCCCCCACACUGGUACUGAGACACGGACCAGACUCCUACGGGAGGCAGCAGUAAGGAAUAUUGGACAAUGGUGGCAACACUGAUCCAGCCAUGCCGCGUGAAGGAUGACGGCCCUAUGGGUUGUAAACUUCUUUUGUACGGGAAAAAACCUCUUUACGUGUAAAGAGCUGAUUGUACUGUAAGAAUAAGGAUCGGCUAACUCCGUG
rnacentral:rRNA from 1 species